GGAUAACGGUAAAAAAACGUACCCAAAAUAUAUACCGAAAUUUUCUCCGCUUCCAUCGUUCCCUUCUCCCUCCGCGAUUAUCUCCAGAUUCCAUCCGGCGCCGUCGCAUCUCCUGCUCUGGCGCGACGUCUCCUUACCGGCGCCCCUCCUCCACUGCACGUCUCUUCCAAUCUCAUACUCGCCUCGCACCCUCCGCCUCCGUGCUCACCGCCCUAGCCGUGCCGCUCGUCUCGCCCUCUUCGCCCCCACGGCCGACACCGUUGAGCCGAUGGAUCUCCCUCGUUCUCGCCCCUUCCGCUUCUGCGGUCGCUGCCGCCGAACAGGCCGAGAUGGAAUGGAGCUGCUCCCCAACCGCCCCCUCUCCUCCACCUCUUCCAUACCCCCGCCACGCCAAUCAUCUCGCCCUCUCUGCCUCGGCGGCCGACGCGCGGCCAUGCCACCUCUGCUCUGCCCACAACUACGACAAAGCUUCCUGCCUCUUUAUUCUGAGUUUACGUCUUGCUUUCAAGUGCGGGACUGCACUGGCACUCUCGCUUGAUCCCUUACUACUCUUUUGAGCAGUUUUGUGUGCAAAGUUGAGAAAGUUGGGGCCAGCAAACGCAUUAGAGUAAGCUUCUUUCAUCCUCCUAGAGUUUUCUCCCAUGAUUUUGCAAGUAGAGCAGGUUUCAAAGCAUUUGUCAACUGGCCUAGUGCAAUAUAGCUCAUUUAAAGUUGAGUUAGGGGACUGUAUUUUCAUGUCUAAAGGCAAUGAGAAAAGCAAUGACCUGCACUACAUCCACAUGAAGGCUUUUAAGAGCGAACACAAAUAUUUCAUUUAGUACAACAUAGGUAAUGUAUUUGUUUAUUUUGAGAUCCAACGGUGGAUGAUGUAUGAUAGAUUUUCUAGCAGGAGGCUACAUUGAGGAGGCUCGAUCGUUGUCAGCUGGAAAAGCUAAUGGUAAACAGGAGAAACUAACAAUUUCCAGAUGCAAUACAUUUGGGCAAUUUUAUGGAUUUUGUGGCUCUAGAACAGCAUGGUUUCACUCCAAUAAUCUGAAGAUGGAUCUAAGUGCAGUUUGCUCAGAGCACUCUGCAGUUGUAUAAUCACCUAGGCAGAGAAAGCUCUUAGCCUGGUGUGAUUUAGGUCCGAUCUGAUCAGCUAGACGCGAUCGGCGGGCGCCCACAACUGUAAUCAAACUACGGCGGGCGCCCACAACUGUAAUCAAACUACUGCCCUAAAAAUAUCUCUACAGUAGUCGGACGCCAAAGACAUAACCUUGCCCUGGUAAGCAAGCGAUGCAUAUAUUGAAUUCUUUAUAUAUGUGAAGCCAGCAUAGUCGAUAUAUGAGUUGUUUUUUGAGAAAACUGGAAGCUUGCGUCUCGAUGCAUUGAUAGAAGAUACAUGAGUUGUUUUCGUUUUGUAUCUUGGUUCGGUUAAUUUCACAACUUCUCCAGAACUACAAGACAUCUCAGCAGAAGGUUAAAAUGGACUUUGAAGCUUAUGGGCAAAGGGUAAGUAAGUAUACAUGAAAAUCCCAGUGCAGGUGAAGUGAUUCUUCAUUGGUAAAGUUUUCAAUUGUUACAAAAUUGGUAAACCAUCAUGGGUUAACAUUUCUAUAGGUCAUUGAAGUGAAGGACAACGGAUUUUGAUGGCCGUGCAGUCUUAUCCCAAUAUGGUCAAUACAGGCAUAACAGUUGGCUGUUCUUCUGUCUAUAGGCAGCACGCCAACGACACGUGGACAUCAGCAGAUUGAUGUAUCAUACGCCUAGGAGGUACAUGUGUUGUUGUCCCUGUUGGUGUUGAUGGACCACGGUGGUGUUCCCCGCUGAGCUCCUCCAUCCGACGCAGGCCUCUCCCUAAUCUCUUCGGACAAACUCGCCAUCAACAUCUCCUUUUUCCGUUUUUUUGUGAUUACUUCUUUUCCUUUGUAAUGUUUUCUGUUUACAUAAUUAGGAAUAUAUGAAUCUAGAAUUGCUUAUUGUUUAUGAAAAAAAUGUGCUAUUGUGUCUGUGUUUUGUAUAUUGUGGAGUGACUGUUAUCAAAGGAGUUGGGAUUAUUCUGUGAUUAUCUGGAAGAGCUAAUGUUGUACUAUACAACUUCAUUAAUACAUGUGUAAAUCGUUUACCUUAA